GCAGUCGAACGAGAAAGUUCCUUCGGGAGCGAGUAAAGUGGCGGACGGGUGAGUAACGCGUAGGAAUCUACCUUUCAGUGGGGGAUAGCUCGGGGAAACUCGAAUUAAUACCGCAUACACCCUUCGGGGGAAAGGGGGCCUCUCCUUGGAAGCUCUCGCUGUUAGAUGAGCCUGCGUGAGAUUAGCUUGUUGGUAAGGUAAUGGCUUACCAAGGCUACGAUCUCUAGCUGGUCUGAGAGGACGAUCAGCCACACUGGGACUGAGACACGGCCCAGACUCCUACGGGAGGCAGCAGUAGGGAAUAUUGGACAAUGGGGGCAACCCUGAUCCAGGCAUGCCGCGUGUGUGAAGAAGGCCUUAGGGUUGUAAAGCACUUUAAGUGAGGAAGAAAAGAUUUAAACUAAUACUUUAAGUCCCUGACAUUACUCACAGAAUAAGGACCGGCUAACUCCGUGCCAGCAGCCGCGGUAAUACGGAGGGUCCAAGCGUUAAUCGGAAUUACUGGGCGUAAAGCGCGCGUAGAUGGUUUAUUCAGUUGGGUGUGAAAUCCCUGGGCUCAACCUAGGAACUGCAUUCAAAACUUAUAAACUAGAGUACGAAAGAGGAGAGUAGAAUUCAUGGUGUAGCGGUGAAAUGCGUAGAGAUCAUGAGGAAUACCAGUGGCGAAGGCGACUCUCUGGUUCGAGACUGACAUUGAGGUGCGAAAGCGUGGGUAGCAAACAGGAUUAGAUACCCUGGUAGUCCACGCCGUAAACGAUGAGAACUAGCCGUUGGAUCUUUAGAUUCAGUGGCGCAGCUAACGCAUUAAGU
rnacentral:rRNA from 1 species